GCCGCGGUAAGACAGAGGGUGCAAACGUUGCUCGGAAUCACUGGGCGUAAAGGGUGUGUAGGCGGACUUUUAAGUCAGCGGUGAAAUCUCCGGGCUCAACCCGGAAACUGCCAUUGAUACUAUUGGUCUUGAAUAUUGUUGAGGUGGGCGGAACGGGUCAUGUAGCGGUGAAAUGCAUAGAUAUGACCCGGAACACCGAUUGCGAAGGCAGCCCACUAAGCAAUGAUUGACGCUGAGGCACGAAAGCGUGGGGAUCAAACAG
rnacentral:rRNA from 1 species